CUCAGUCGGUUAGAGCGUUGGUCUCAUACCAUGUGUGAUUCUUCAGUAUACUGGGGAAACUUCCAAUCCAAAGGUCGUGAGUUCAAGUCUCACCGAGGACA
rnacentral:tRNA from 1 species